ensembl:lncRNA
CGGGGCUGCUGCGCCCCACAUCCUCCAGUGAGGCUGCCUGCGUGCCCGUACGUGCUGGUUGUGUUACUCUGAGGGUCUGCAGGUAACGACGUUUGUGCAAUGAGGGCGGCGAGGCAGUGCCACAGGUUGCCCGGAGAGGCGGUGUGCCCCGUCCCUGCACACACCCAGGGUCAGGACGGAGGGGCUCUGAGCACUGACGGGGCUGUAGGUGUCCCUGUUGGUGCAUCGGGCUGGACCCGAUGACCUUCAAAGCUCCCUUCCAACUCCGGCUUCUUAUGAUCCUAUGCUGGCCAUGUGCUUCCCUCUGCUGUCUGCUGUGGAACGUAAGGCGUUAUCGGGUCUACGGUAAGACCUGGGAUAAACCUUCAACUUCCAGUAAGCAGCACCUCUCUGACAGUUAUUUAAAGCCUGUCCGCAUUGUUCCAGAGCUAUUUCCUUUUUCCUCUAAGGCAACCUACGGUAGGAAACCGGCGGUCCCUCAGGUAGCCCGCUUCCACUUCACUUGAAGUCUUGCCUGCUCGUGGCAUUUGGGGCCAGCAGAGCGACCUGCAGAGGCUGAAAAUUGUCUGCAGCUUCCUGCCUUUUGUGGAGUGGGCCAAAGAUAACAGUUUUGGUUUGGUUUCGGACGGCCCAGGAGUGGGCCUGUUGUGAUUCAUGCGUUCCACUUGCAGAUUGGCAUUGCUGAGACUAUAAAAUGGACGUGCUUGCUUUGGACGGCCUUCCGUAGCCUUUGAAGGGCACAGAAGUGUUCUCCCUGGUUUUGGUGGGAGAAGCAGUCUGUUUGGUGUGCUAGGCUGGUGUGCCAGUUAGUAUCUCCUACUGAUAGGAUGGGAAAGGACAGGGGAUUGGGGUCUCAUUUGUGAAGACUGAAUGUUUGUAGAUGGGGCGUUUUGCACAUUACAUACAAUUUGCAGACCAGUGAUUUGGUAGUUUGUUUUAACCGAUCCAUCUGCCAUCUUAACUCUAGAAAUGAAUGGAAAAGACAGCGUGCUGUGAAUGGAAGUCGUGCUCUGUGAAACCAGCAGUUACUCGUGUGGUAACAGAUAUGGUCUGCGGGGAAAAAGAGAAUGAACUGAAAGCGAGACGUGGAAAUCAAGCUAUGGGAAAGGGUUUCUUUUGUGACGUUGUGGAUGACCGCGAGGAUUGGCAUUUGUAGCAACCAGAGCCCAUCUCAGUCAUGCAGGGAGUCGCUUUGUAAACGCAGUUUUCCUGCCUACGAGUGCAUUACCAGACGUCAGUUCCGUCCCGAGAUCGCCCUGCACCGUCCCCGUGGCAGUUCCACCACGUUUCAGACACCUCUACGCUUCUGUACCAAGCUUGCAACUAACCAAAUUUUAAUGUGAUGAAAAAUGUAAUCUUUCUGAGAUCUCUCCAACGCUCCCCUUGUCCGUAUGGCCUGAAAAGACUUGGCAGCGUGUUGGCUGCUUUUCUUUUCUCCCCUUUCCCCGUGUCAGUGACAAAUGCACAUUGUUUUUCUGGUCUUUCAGUCUCCGAGCCAGACCAACGCUUUGUGCAGCACCUAGCUCACCGGGUUGCUAUCAAGGCAGCUGUGUGCUCCUACACCAACACAAAAUAUUGGGGUUGCUGGCACUCACUCUGGCCUAGUUUGCCUCUCUCCUCGCAGAAGGAGUUUCAUGAUGUCCUCCUGGAAGAUCAUUGUACACCUGAACAGGUCUACCUUUCAGGAUUCUAUUUUACUUUUUCAUAAAUCCUCAGCUGAGGUUUUCAUUUGCAGGUGUGCUCCUUGUAAUGCUCGGCUCCCUGACUGAGCCAGCAUCAUUUCUGGGGUUGUACUUUCCGGCUUCUCAUAGCUGUAAGAUUAUUAAUUUCAUACUAUUUUCUGAUUUGUUUCAUUUUUCAUCCAUCUCUUUCCUGCAGGAGAGAGCAAUUUAUAUCAUGAUUUCACUGUGGAAUUGACUUCAGGCUUUACUGCUAUUUGUCACCAUUCAGGAAAUCCAUCCCUGGCUCGAGAAGAACACUCAGUCCCUGCUGACAGUUUGAAAGAGGGAGAGAAAAUAGAUAGCAGAGCUGCAGCUAUUAGGACCAACAGGCAGCAGGCUCACAACAACGACAAGAUGUUAUCCCACGGAAAGCUGCUGCUGCUGCCUCUGGCCUUGGUUAACCUGUUGGCAAUGGUGCUUGCCUGGGCAUGGGGCAACUGGCUUUUCACACAGCUCAGCAUGGACGUGCUGCCACUCCCAGUCACUUUUAGGACACAGUAGAAUUGUUUUUCUUGAGAUUACUGUACCCAUUAAUCUUAAGAAAAACAUGUAAUAAAACUGUUCAGCCUUCCUGGGGCCACCACUCCCAGAGACCUUUCCCCUUUUUGGCUUCUGCAAUAGCUUCUUUCCUUUGGCUCUGCACCUUUAUCAGCUAGAAAUGAUAAACUACAAAGCUGGUUGGCUUCAGGCUCUCUUUUUUGCAGGACAGGCUAUGCUUGUGCCUAUUGAGGACUGGAAGAUCACAGAGGAUGAGGGGGAAAGGGAAGGCUGCUCGCUCUUGUACACAGUGCAGGGGCAGGAUACAGCCUUUUAUGAAGUUCAGCAAAGAAAAACUUGGGCUUUCCUGCACACCGUGCCAUACCAGUCAGCCUGGUACUUAUGUUCCUGGACCUUUGAAGGCAAGAAACAACAUGCAGUGGGAAUGAAAUCUAAGCCUUGCUGCACCAGAACACUGGUUGCAGCCAAGUUUAGAAGUCUGACGUGAGAGUCAGGUGGAGCAGGUACCAUGGCAGGAGAUGCCAUGUAUCACCUGCAGGCAUGCAGAUCUGCAGUGCUGCUACAGCAUCAGAGUCCAACUGCAAUGUGUGGCAUGUGAGAAGCUGGUGAACCCGCGGCCACGUUCGGCUUGAAUGCACUUUCCUUGGGAGGAAGUGGCUUUUCCCUCGGAGAGCUCAACUCCCCAGGGUCCCUGUGAGGUCAGUGGAAAAAGUGAUUUCAUCAGAGUAUGUUCCAGAAUGCCUUGACAAACGCUUAUCAUUUUGACUGUGGAGCAAACUUAACCUCUGUAGUUUUAAACCCGCUUUUGUGAGUACCAAACCCUGCCUGCUCCUUAGCUUUGGGAGUUAUGCUGUCCCUGCUAGGCAGAUUGCCUACUGCGGUUCAGGUGCUGCAGGCCCAAGCUGAGAGAAGCUCGUCCAGCAGCGCACAGCGUGUCCUAUUGCAUCCUGCUUCAUCCUUUGGCUUAUCCUGGAAUAGGUUAGCAGGUAGCAGAGAAAUCAAAUGAAGUCAAAAAAUGUUGGUUUCUUUCUGGAUGGCCUGACUGGACUGGAAUAAUCAGCAUCUGUUUCGGUUUAAAUGAGUUUUCAUUCCGGCCUUUUUUCCCUUUUCGAAGUACAGACAACUGAAGACUUUAAUUUGCCCCAUCUUUUACUGUAGAGAAAAGUAGAAGUUUCUGUCAGCUGAUACUAUUGCACCUAGAAUAUCUAUACUUAAAAAAGAAUACAAUUUAUUGUCUAUUAUGAAUGAAAAAGCUCUUGCUGGUUUCUUUCAUUUGUAGUGUUGACUUUGAAAGAUAAAUUGUUUGAACUGGUUGACUCUCCAUUUGUAUAACUGAAGGUUAGCUUGCUUGAUAGCCUGAUGGGUCUGCAGUUUUUGCUUGCACUAAAUAAGCUGCAGAACCGCCAGCCCUGGGCAGCUAGGACACAGCACAUACUUGAAAACCAAUUGUCACUUUUACUGGUAAAUCAGGCAGAAUAAUCUCAUGCAUGACAUCCUGGAUGUUUCAGGAUUGAUCCAUCUGGAAGAGCCCCCAUAGGGCCUAGAAUGUGUUUCUAAAGCUGACACACAUACAUAAGUGCUAAUGAGUUUAAAGUUGAAGCUGACAGGCCCAGAACUGUUUUUACCUGGUAGUUUUGCAACCCUAAACCAUGCAGCUUGGUUGUGAGGACACAGGCAUGUUAAACAAACUCCAUCCUUUUUUUUCCAUAUGUGUUUGCUGUGUAGAACCAGCAGCAAGAAAGUGUAGAAAGAAUUUCUUGUCACUCCAUUGAGCAGACCUGACUCUGAGCACAGAGAAGGAACAGAGUAAAAAUAGUAACAUCUUGCUGUACUGUACUCCCUCAGCAGAGAACCACAUUUUGAGGUUCCCCUUCUUUGUGUCCUUAUUUGUAUUGCAACAGAAGCUUUCGCUCUGGUGGGCAGUCUUUCUCUUCAGUGUGGUGGAUCUUCUUGUUGGCCACUCUGUCCCAGUGCUGGUUUCUAGGUUUUGCCAGUGGUUCUGGAUGUGUAUGUACGUUUUCUGUGCCUCAUACUUCACCUCUCUCCCCUUUUUAGGCUGUGCCAGCUCUUCCAGCCUCCCCACUUUCUGUGUACCUGUGACCAUGGCAAUACAGCCAGGAUUACAUCUAAGGUGAAGACAGAAAAACCAUGAUGAAGGUUUAUGCUAUUUUCAUGACGAAUAUGAUGCUCACAAAAAUGAAAAGGUGUUUGUCUUCAAAGCUUUCUUCUUUCCCACAGAACGAGUGAACACGUUGCAACCCUUGCCUGAAAGACUGAGGCCAAGUUUCUCAAAAACUGACAAUUCAGGAAAAGGGAUAGGAUAGGAUGGGAAAGUCUGGGCAGAGUGAGGUGUAGAUGAGAGGAAGGUAAAACCUUAAAAUGGGAAUUUGGAGGUUUGAGAUGAGGUGGAGGGAGGCUGAGAUUCACGAAGAAAGUGUAAUCAGUAAUGAGAGGAGGUUUAUGCUGAGACCAUCUGUGCAAGGAACCAGUAGCAGGGGAGGGACAGAAGUCAGCAGAAUUGUUUGUCAGUGCAGAGAAAGUCACAGGGGAUAGGAAGUUAGAAGAAGAACUGGGCAAAGGAGACUGAAUGAAGAGCUGGCGUAGGGAACCAGAACUGGAAGUGCUGUUGGAUGCUAAGAAACUAGAGGCGGGUGGUAGACAUCUGAAGGUGUUAGCUGGGCAUAGGCAGAGGGGAAGGUGGUGGAGUACUGGGGAAGGCUGCGGGAUGAGGGGCAUGUGCUGGCUGGGCCAUCUCUGCUCUCCAGGCUGGCAGCCAAGCAGGGCUUACCCAAGGCUGGCCUUCACUGUGGCUCAGCUGGCAAAGAAUUUGCCUCUUGUUGGUCUGCCCCAGACACAGAGAGAAUUUAGUGCCCUGGGAUGAGGCGGCAGCAGCUGCCUGCCUGGGGGAGGAGAGGGCUUGCUUGUAGUUAGAUGGAAAAAUAAAAUUACAGUUGGGAGGAGGUAGUGAAAAGGCCACGUGAACAAGAGAGAAAAGGUCAAUUCAUUAGUCCGGCAGCCACUAAAUUAAGAAAAGGCAAGUGAGGCUAUAAUAUCAGAGGUAUCUGAAUUCAGUCAAAGAUGGUUUUGAAGUUGCUGGAUUGAUCUUGUGGUCAGCUUAAGCAAGCUUAACAAAUUAAUUACAGUAUUUUAGUUCAUUGUGUAAGAGCUAGCUAAUAAAUCACAGUGCUUUGUAGAAACAUGCUUGAAACAACUGUGUAAAUACUAAAUAGCCUUAGGAGUGGUCUUACGAAUCCACUGAAUAAUCCAAAUUCCAGCACUCUUCCCCCUCUGCUGCUGUUCUAGAUAUAGGAUAACAGUCACUGCUGUUAUCUGCUCCUUUUUGAGGCAGGGGGGCAGAGGUCUGUGUCAGACAUGGGGAGGUACCAGCACUGCUGGGGACCCAGGGAAGUGCCAUGAUGCUGUGUGAUCUGCACCACAGCGGUCCUUUUAGGAGCUACAUGCAUUAAAGGAA